AGAUUGAACGCUAGCGGGAUGCUUUACACAUGCAAGUCGAACGGCAGCGCGGACUUCGGUCUGGCGGCGAGUGGCGAACGGGUGAGUAAUAUAUCGGAACGUGCCCAGUAGCGGGGGAUAACUACGCGAAAGCGUGGCUAAUACCGCAUACGCCCUACGGGGGAAAGGGGGGGAUUCUUCGGAACCUCUCACUAUUGGAGCGGCCGAUAUCAGAUUAGCUAGUUGGUGAGGUAAAGGCUCACCAAGGCGACGAUCUGUAGCUGGUUUGAGAGGACGACCAGCCCACACUGGGACU
rnacentral:rRNA from 1 species